rnacentral:lncRNA from 1 species
AGAGAUAUCUCCAGCAGAGAUGGUGUACUCGCAAUAGCCACCUCUUUCAUUGGGGUUCCUUCUUCCACCUGAGUGUCUUCCUCAUCAUCCUCCAGCCACGUACCCUCCAUCAAAUACAACUUCUGCGCCUUGCACUUACAUCCAAGUGAAAAAUUUUCAUCGCAAUUAUAGCACAGUCAUCUAUCUCUCCUUUCUUUCAUUUCAGUAGGAGUGAGGCGUUUGAUGGGCAGAUUGGAGAUUUUGGAAGCGGUCGUGCUAGUCCCACCUUGAGUUUUUCCACCAUCAAAUCUCAUCACACCUUUUCUAGGCCCGAUUUUUUCUUCUUGUAAUCGGGCAAGCCCGAUCGCUAUCGAUAAUGAGUUGGGUUUAAACAUUUGCACAUUUAGCCGGAUCUCUUCUUUAAGCCCACCAACGAAACAAAUGGUCAUGAAUGCUUGGUUGGGGCCUUCUGUACGAUUUUCCAGAGCUUCCAAUUGAGUCUGGUAAUCUAGAACUGUGGAAUUCUGCUGAAGCGUUGCCAAGGAUGCUGUGGGAUCUUCAAAUUCAGUGGGCUCGAAUCGAACCCCUAAAGCUCGGGUAAAUUCUUCCCAAUCCGUUACAACUUUGCCUUAUCCAUCCAUCUAAACCACUGUAAUGCAUUCCCCUCCAAGUGAAAGGAAGCAAUCAUGUGCCAUUGUUCAAUAGGAGUUUGAUGGUAAGAAAAUAAUUGUUCAGCCCUGUAGAUCCAACCUGCCGAAUCGGACCCAUCAAAACAGGGAAAAUCCAAGCAAAUGGUUCGAGUUUGAAUAUAGUUGUUGCUUGUCGUGUGGCGUGAUUCUUCCCUUCUGUUGCUGGAAUGAUUAUCUGAGUGUUCCCCUUUGUCACGACCAAGUGUUUGUGAGAUUUGAUCAUACUUUAUGUCCAUUGAUGUGAUCUUGUGAUAGAGAUCGUUUA